rnacentral:rRNA from 1 species
UACAGAGGGUGCAAGCGUUGUUCGGAAUUACUGGGCGUAAAGCGCGUGUAGGCUGCGAUGUAAGUCAGGUGUGAAAGCCCUCAGCUUAACUGAGGAAGUGCACUUGAUACUGUGUCGCUUGAGUGUCGGAGGGGGUGGCGGAAUUCCCGGUGUAGAGGUGAAAUUCGUAGAUAUCGGGAGGAACACCUGUGGCGAAGGCGGCCACCUGGACGACAACUGACGCUGAGACGCGAAAGCCAGGGGAGCGAACGGG